ACGGCCACAUCACGCUGAAACACCAGUUUCCAUAUGAUCACUGAAGUUAAGCAACGUUGAGCCUGGACAUUACCUAGAUAGGUGAUGGUUUGGGAAAG